GUGUGUGAAGAAGGCCUUCGGGUUGUAAAGCACUUUCAGUCGUGAGGAAGGGGUAGUAAUUAAUACUUGCUAUCUUUGACGUUAGCGACAGAAGAAGGACCGGCUAACUCCGUGCCAGCAGCCGCGGUAAUACGGAGGGUCCGAGCGUUAAUCGGAAUUACUGGGCGUAAAGCGUACGCAGGCGGCUUGUUAAGCCAGAUGUGAAAUCCCCGGGCUCAACCUGGGAAUGGCAUUUGGAACUGGCAAGCUAGAGUUUUGUAGAGGGUGGUAGAAUUUCAGGUGUAGCGGUGAAAUGCGUAGAGAUCUGAAGGAAUACCAGUGGCGAAGGCGGCCACCUGGACAAAAACUGACGCUCAUGUACGAAAGCGUGGGGAGCAAACAGGAUUAGAUACCCUGGUAGUCCACGCCGUAAACGAUGUCUACUAGUUGUCUGUGAGUUUAACUCGUGGGUAACGCAGCUAACGCAUUAAGUAGACCGCCUGGGGAGUACGGCCGCAAGGUUAAAACUCAAAUGAAUUGACGGGGGCCCGCACAAGCGGUGGAGCAUGUGGUUUAAUUCGAUGCAACGCGAAGAACCUUACCUGCCCUUGACAUACUGAGAACUUACCAGAGAGGUUUGGUGC
rnacentral:rRNA from 1 species